GUACUAGGCUUACAAAGAAUAAGUCCUGGGGUCGAUUUGCUCGAACAAAGGCAGUGCACCAGCAUGGCCACAAUCAAAUGACUUGAAACAAGUGAAAGAGUAUAUCAUUUCAUAAUUCCAUUCUCAGUCUACCCCCCGUGUGUCCACUGCUGCUGGUUGGUUUGGUUUGAAGAAUCUGUCUAGCAAUUCUUUUCUGUAAAAUUCUAAUCACAUGUCCUUUGAACCUGAGUUCUGACCUCUCAAUGCAGAGAAGUAGCAUCUCAACCUUGCAGGGACUCUCUGAUCUACACACCCUUCACAUUCUAUAUUAAUGUCGCCAAUUUAUAAACCUCUGAACUGUUAAGAUAGCAAGGGUUGAACGUCUUUACUAGAUUUUGCUCUUUUUUGGAUGUUCAGUUGUGGGUUUUUAUUAUUUUUGUUCUUUCUACAAAAAGCUGUUGACUACAAAUCUGUUGCUUUUCUAGUGCAUUCAGCUGGGUUUAUGCUGUAAUUAAAUAAUACCUUUAAAGAACCUAGCUUUCUAAUAAAAUACUCUUUUCUACUCUAGGCACAAGAUUUUAGGGGAGGUGGGGCCAGUCGAUUAGAUCGACCCCAGUAUGCAACUAGUACUUAAUUUAUCAACUCCCGAAAAGAUUAAAGGCAAAGUCGACCUCGGCAGAAUUUGAACUCAGAAUGUAAAGACAGAUGAAAUACUGCUAAGCAUUUCACCCGGCAUGCUAACAUUUCUGCCAGCUCACUGCCUUUUUCUAAUAAAAUACUGUGGUAACUAAUACAGCCAUUAUCAUCGUCACAUAUGAUUUUCAAUGUCUGCAUGAGUUAGAUUCUUCCACAAGAACCUCUUGGCACUUCUUCACCCAUCUUUCAUCAUCCGUACACAUUUUAUGUCCAUAGCAACAUUACCAUCGCUCUUCUACAUACACUACGAUCAUCAAUUUCUCUCUCAACUCAUCAUCGUAAUUGUCACAAAAGAUAAAAUAUAAAAAAAAUGUUCACAUUUACAAUUAAAAUUACUAAUUUCAUUCAUCAUUUGAAAUAUGUACAAUAUGGAAAUAUUUCUGAAUGCAUUUUCGAUAACCAGUUUUAUCUUUGCUGCUUAUCGACAUUGAAUGUUCCGUUUGUCCAAUUUUCAUCAAAGACAACGUAUAGUUCGGAAAUGGCAUGAGGACGCAAUUAUUAUCAUCAUUAUUUUUUUUUUUUUUUUUACAUGAGAAUAAGUGAUGUUCAUUAUGUUUCAGAAAGCAUCAGUGAUUGUAAAUGAAACAAUCCUAACUAAUUAAUGAGUUACUUCAAUGAAAAAGAUGAUAAUAAUAAUAAUAAUAAUAAAAAUAAUAACAACAACAAUAAUAUUAAUACAACCCUAUUUCUUAAGAUCUAAGGUUUGAAAUGUCACAAAUAUAAUACAGUUUGUGAAUGCAAAGAAUGCCGCUAAAAGCCUUUAUGAAAACAUGUAAGACCAAACGGCUGACAUAAAUAUGU